AUUGAACGCUGGCGGCAGGCCUAACACAUGCAAGUCGAGCGGAGCGGCGGACGGGUGAGUAAUGCCUAGGAAGCUGCCUGGUAGUGGGGGAUAAAGUCCGGAAACGGGCGCUAAUACCGCAUACUAUCAGAUGAGCCUAGGUCGGAUUAGCUAGUUGGCGGGGUAAAGGCAUACCAAGGCGACGAUCCGUAACUGUCCUGAGAGGAGGAUCAGUCACCCUGAAACUGGGACAGGGUCCAUACUCCUACGUGAGGCAGCAGUGGGGAAUAUUGGACAAUGGGCGAAAGCCUGAUCCAGCCAUGCCGCGUGUGUGAAGAAGGUCUUCGGAUUGUAAAGCACUUUAAUUUGAGUAGCGUUACCAACAGAGUAAGCACCGGCUAACUUCGUGCCAGCAGCCGCGGUAAUAC
rnacentral:rRNA from 1 species